rnacentral:rRNA from 1 species
GAUCAUGGCUCAGGAUGAACGCUGGCGGCGUGCCUAACACAUGCAAGUCGAACGAAGCACUUUAUUAUGAUUUCUUCGGAAUGACGAUUUGGUCACUGAGUGGCGGACGGGUGAGUAACGCGUGGAUAACCUGCCCCAUACAGGGGGAUAACAGUUAGAAAUGACUGCUAAUACCGCAUAAGCGCACAGUAUCGCAUGAUACAGUGUGAAAAACUCCGGUGGUAUGGGA